rnacentral:sRNA from 1 species
AAUUUUUUUUACUAUAAAUAGCCAUGGGAGGGAAGGGUAUUUUGCACCAAGAGAAGAGGAAUCAAGUGAGAGCUUGAGAAAUAGAGAAGAAAUAGUUAGGGAGAAAUUUUUAGUUGCAAGAAGAGUAGAGGUUCUGAAGAGUUUUCGGGGAAACAAAUUCGGAGCAGGAGAUUAAGUCUGGAAUAGAGAUGAAGGAAUGUCGCCUCACAUAGUGCCAAGGAAAGGGAGGAGUAGAAGAACUAUAAUUAGAAUCUUUUUACAUGUAUAGACUUAUAUUAACUAGGAAAUUUUAAAGGGUGAGAUUACGGAAUGUUACCGUAAAUGUAAUGUUAAUUAUCAAGUGUGAAAAUUUGGGAUGUUACAUUAGUGUAAAAAGUUGGAUUGUUACAUUAAUGUGAGAAUUUGGGAUGUUACAUGAUAUGCCAAACUCAUAAAUGCACAUUUCAAUGGAGG